AAAACAUUUCUUUUUUAUAAAAAUAAAAAGUAGACUCUGCCCAAUGAUUAUUUAAAUGGCUGCAGUAUAUUAACUGUACAAAGGUAGCAUAAUAAUUUGAUUUUUAAUUGAAAUCUUGAAUGAAGGAGGUGAUGAAAUAUAAACUUUAUUAAAUUAAAAUUUUGAAUUUAAAUUUAGAGUUAAAAUGCUCUAAUAUUUUUAUGGGACGAGAAGACCCUAUAGAAUUUUAUAUAAUUUAAAUUAAUUAAAUAAUAUGUAAUAAUUUAAAUUAUAUUUAUUUGGGAGGAAUAUUAAAUUUAUAAACUUUAAUUAAUAAAUACAUAAAUAUAUGGAUUUUUAGGAUUUUAUUAAUUAAUUAUAAAAUAAAAUUACCUUAGGGAUAACAGCGUAAUAUUUUUUUAUAGUUCAUAUUGAAAAAAAUGUUU
rnacentral:rRNA from 1 species